rnacentral:rRNA from 1 species
UACGGAGGGUGCAAGCGUUAAUCGGAAUUACUGGGCGUAAAGCGCACGCAGGCGGUCUGUUAAGUCAGAUGUGAAAUCCCCGGGCUCAACCUGGGAACUGCAUUUGAAACUGGCAGGCUUGAGUCUUGUAGAGGGGGGUAGAAUUCCAGGUGUAGCGGUGAAAUGCGUAGAGAUCUGGAGGAAUACCGGUGGCGAAGGCGGCCCCCUGGACAAAGACUGACGCUCAGGUGCGAAAGCGUGGGGAGCAAACAGGAUUAGAUACCCUGGUAGUCCACGCUGUAAACGAUGUCGACUUGGAGGUUGUUCCCUUGAGGAGUGGCUUCCGGAGCUAACGCGUUAAGUCGACCGCCUGGGGAGUACGGCCGCAAGGUUAAA